GCCCCAGUUGUCUAAUGGUUAUGACGUCAGACUUCUACUUUCGAAUUGGCUGAAUCUGGAGGUUACGGGUUCGACUCCCGUCUGGGGUU